rnacentral:rRNA from 1 species
CAGUAGCCGCGGUAAGACGAACCGUGCGAACGUUGUUCGGAAUCACUGGGCUUAAAGGGCGCGUAGGCGGGCUGCCAAGUCUGUGGUGAAAUCCUCCGGCUCAACCGGGGAAGUGCCAUGGAUACUGGCGGCCUCGAGGGAGGUAGGGGCGUACGGAACUGUGGGUGGAGCGGUGAAAUGCGUAGAUAUAGGAAGGAACACCAGUGGCGAAGGCGACCACCUGGACUAAUACUGACACUGAGGUGCGAAAGCGUGGGGAGCAAACAGGAUUAGAUACCCCCGUAGUCCCUGUCUCUUAUAC